CCCACCUUAUAACUAAUAUUUCUUUAAGCUAGCACUAGCGUGUUGCUGGUCCAUGAUUGGCAACUGGAAACCUUGAGCACGAGUGGUUGAAGCUUCCGACAAACUUUUGUCUUCGGCACGCUCAACACGAUACGGAACCGAACAGGCUGGGCUCCAUAGAAUUAAAGACAGACCUACUACGGCAACUGAUCAACCUUUGGACA
rnacentral:lncRNA from 1 species